AAUUUCGCCCCAAAAGGCUCUAUGAGAGAAACCUGAUACCAAAGAAAAUCUUUGGCAUACAAAAUGAAAGUGGAAGAUUUUAUGUGGAAGACCUUAUCUGGAAUAACAUUGAUUCCGAUCGAAAGAGAUGAUCAGGACUUGCCUAAUCCUAUGAGUGCAGAUUUAAUCCAAAAAAAAAGAAAAAACAAGAAAAAAAUAAAAAGAAAC
rnacentral:lncRNA from 1 species